UUUCCUCUACCUUACUCCAAGGGCUCUCUGACCAGUAGAGUGCCUUGGCAUUGCCUGAGGAUAUAUUGAAAUCAUGCUCAUAUCCCUCCCCAGUAGGAUUCUUGGGUUUCCUUUGGGGCCUACAGUUUGAGCAAACAUU